rnacentral:rRNA from 1 species
GAUGAACGCUGGCGGCGUGCCUAACACAUGCAAGUCGAACGGAGUCCCGCUUUUAAGACCUUCGGGUCAAAGAGGGGAAGACUGAGUGGCGGACGGGUGAGUAACACGUGGGCAACCUGGCUCAUAGAGGGGGAUAACAGAGAGAAAUUUCUGCUAAUACCGCACAAGCACACACUGCCGCAUGGCAGAGGGUGAAAAGCGAAUCGCUAUGAGAUGGACCCGCUUCUGAUUGGCCAGUUGGCAGGGUAAGAGCCUAGCAACGCGACGAAGAGUAGCCGAUCUGGGAGGAUGAACGACCAGGAUGGAGCUGAGACACAGACCCAACUCCGACGGAAGGCAGCAGUGUAGGAUAUUGCACGAUGAAGCGAGCCCUGAUGCAGCGACGCCGCGUAAGUGAAGAAGUAUUUCGGUAUGUAAAGCUCUAUCAGCAGAGGAGAUAAUGACGGUACCUGAAUAAGAAGCCCCGGCUAACUACGUG